CAAGCUUUGAUAAAUACUCCAUUGUCAUUUUCUUAGCUAAAACACAAAAAGGAACGGUCAUAUAAGCCAAUGAAUCCAGGAUCGGCUAGUGGAAGUGCAGGUGUAGCGCGAAGCAGUGCUUUACAGAGACCCCCUUCCUCCUCAACCUGCCUGCUGACCUUCUGUAUAGGCACCGUAUCCUGCAAUAAAGUGACCCCUGGAUGGGGGUGAAACUGAUCCAGAGUGUUCUGGACCUCAGACUGGGCGGAAGGUCCACCUUCCAACAAGACAAUGAUCCUAAGCGCACAGCCAAGACAAUAAAGGAGUGGCCUCUGUGAAUGUCUUUAAAUGCCACAGCCAGAACCCUGAAAGAUCUCCAGAGUGACCUAAUAAUGGCUUCCACUGACAGUACCCAUCCAACCUGAAUCCAGGUGUGCAAACCGUAUGGCAGCAUCUCUAAGAAGACUGUAGGCUGUAAUCGCUGUCAAAGGUGCCUCAACUAUGUACUGAGUGAGGGGUCU